rnacentral:rRNA from 1 species
CCUACGGGUGGCAGCAGUGGGGAAUAUUGGGCAAUGGAGGCAACUCUGACCCAGCAACGCCGCGUGAAUGAUGAAGGUCUUCUGAUUGUAAAGUUCUGUAGUCGGGGAUGAACACCAUGACGGUACCCCACUAGCAAGCCACGGCUAACUACGUGCCAGCAGCCGCGGUAAUACGUAGGUAGCAAGCGUUAUCCGGAAUGACUGGGCGUAAAGGGUGCGUAGGUGGUUUAGUAAGUUGGCGGUGUAAUGCCGGGGCUUAACCUCGGCGCUACCGCCAAAACUAUUAGACUAGAGUGCAGGAGGGGUGAGUGGAAUUCCUAGUGUAGCGGUGGAAUGCGUAGAUAUUAGGAGGAACAUCAGAGGCGAAGGCGACUGACUGGACUGCAACUGACGCUGAGGCACGAAAGUGUGGGGAGCAAACAGGAUUAGAUACCCUGGUAGUC